UACGUAGGUGGCAAGCGUUGUCCGGAUUUAUUGGGCGUAAAGGGAACGCAGGCGGUCUUUUAAGUCUGAUGUGAAAGCCUUCGGCUUAACCGGAGUAGUGCAUUGGAAACUGGGAGACUUGAGUGCAGAAGAGGAGAGUGGAACUCCAUGUGUAGCGGUGAAAUGCCUAGAUAUAUGGAAGAACACCAGUGGCGAAAGCGGCUCUCUGGUCUGUAACUGACGCUGAGGUUCGAAAGCGUGGGUAGCAAACAGG
rnacentral:rRNA from 1 species